rnacentral:rRNA from 1 species
UACGAAGGGGGCUAGCGUUGCUCGGAAUUACUGGGCGUAAAGGGCGCGUAGGCGGACAGUUUAGUCAGAGGUGAAAGCCCAGGGCUCAACCUUGGAAUUGCCUUUGAUACUGGCUGUCUUGAGUUCGGGAGAGGUGAGUGGAAUGCCGAGUGUAGAGGUGAAAUUCGUAGAUAUUCGGCGGAACACCAGUGGCGAAGGCGACUCACUGGCCCGAUACUGACGCUGAGGCGCGAAAGCGUGGGGAGCAA